rnacentral:rRNA from 1 species
AGCCUAAAUAUUCCCUGGUGACCGAUAGCGGAUAGUACCGUGAGGGAAUGGUGAAAAGUACCGCGGGAGCGGAGUGAAAUAGUACCUGAAACCGUGUGCCUACAAGCCGUGGGAGCGUCGGGAUCUUUGGAUCCUCGUGACUGCGUGCCUUUUGAAGAAUGAGCCUGCGAGUUAGCGGUGUGUAGCGAGGUUAACCCGUGUGGGGAAGCCGUAGCGAAAGCGAGUCCGAAUAGGGCGAUUGAGUUGCACGCUCUA